rnacentral:rRNA from 1 species
GAACGCUGGCGGCGUGCUUAACACAUGCAAGUCGAACGGAGAGGCCCUGCUUUUGUGGGGUGCUCGAGUGGCGAACGGGUGAGUAACACGUGAGUAACCUGCCCUUGACUUUGGGAUAACUUCUGGAAACUGGGGCUAAUACCGGAUAGGAGCUCCUGCUGCAUGGUGGGGGUUGGAAAGUUUCGGCGGUUGGGGAUGGACUCGCGGCUUAUCAGCUUGUUGGUGGGGUAGUGGCUUACCAAGGCUUUGACGGGUAGCCGGCCUGAGAGGGUGACCGGCCACAUUGGGACUGAGAUACGGCCCAGACUCCUACGGGAGGCAGCAGUGGGGAAUAUUGCACAAUGGGCGGAAGCCUGAUGCAGCAACGCCGCGUGCGGGAUGACGGCCUUCGGGUUGUAAACCGCUUUCGCCUGUGACGAAGCGUGAGUGACGGUAAUGGGUAAAGAAGCACCGGCUAACUACGUGCCAGCAGCCGCGGUGAUACGUAGGGUGCGAGCGUUGUCCGGAUUUAUUGGGCGUAAAGGGCUCGUAGGUGGUUGAUCGCGUCGGAAGUGUAAUCUUGGGGCUUAACCCUGAGCGUGCUUUCGAUACGGGUUGACUUGAGGAAGGUAGGGGAGAAUGGAAUUCCUGGUGGAGCGGUGGAAUGCGCAGAUAUCAGGAGGAACACCAGUGGCGAAGGCGGUUCUCUGGGCCUUUCCUGACGCUGAGGAGCGAAAGCGUGGGGAGCGAACAGGCUUAGAUACCCUGGUAGUCCACGCUGUAAACGGUGGGUACUAGGUGUGGGGUCCAUUCCACGGGUUCCGUGCCGUAGCUAACGCUUUAAGUACCCCGCCUGGGGAGUACGGCCGCAAGGCUAAAACUCAAAGGAAUUGACGGGGCCCCGCACAAGCGGCGGAGCAUGCGGAUUAAUUCGAUGCAACGCGUAGAACCUUACCUGGGUUUGACAUGGAUCGGGAGUGCUCAGAGAUGGGUGUGCCUCUUUUGGGGUCGGUUCACAGGUGGUGCAUGGCUGUCGUCAGCUCGUGUCGUGAGAUGUUGGGUUAAGUCCCGCAACGAGCGCAACCCUUGUUCACUGUUGCCAGCACGUUAUGGUGGGGACUCAGUGGAGACCGCCGGGGUCAACUCGGAGGAAGGUGGGGAUGACGUCAAGUCAUCAUGCCCCUUAUGUCCAGGGCUUCACGCAUGCUACAAUGGCUGGUACAGAGAGUGGCGAGCCUGUGAGGGUGAGCGAAUCUCGGAAAGCCGGUCUCAGUUCGGAUUGGGGUCUGCAACUCGACCUCAUGAAGUCGGAGUCGCUAGUAAUCGCAGAUCAGCAACGCUGCGGUGAAUACGUUCCCGGGGCUUGUACACACCGCCCGUCAAGUCAUGAAAGUUGGUAACACCCGAAGCCGGUGGCCUAACCGUUGUGGGGGAGCCGUCGAAGGUGGGACUGGUGAUUAGGACUAAGU